rnacentral:rRNA from 1 species
GACGAACGCUGGCGGCGUGCUUAACACAUGCAAGUCGAACGGAAAGGCCCUGCUUUUGUGGGGUGCUCGAGUGGCGACCGGGUGAGUAACACGUGAGUAACCUGCCCUUGACUUUGGGAUAACUUCAGGAAACUGGGGCUAUUACCGGAUAGGAGCUCCUGCUGCAUGGUGGGGGUUGGAAAGUUUCGGCGGUUGGGGAUGGACUCGCGGCUUAUCAGCUUGUUGGUGGGGUAGUGGCUUACCAAGGCUUUGACGGGUAGCCGGCCUGAGAGGGUGACCGGCCACAUUGGGACUGAGAUACGGCCCAGACUCCUACGGGAGGCAGCAGUGGGGAAUAUUGCACAAUGGGCGGAAGCCUGAUGCAGCAACGCCGCGUGCGGGAUGACGGCCUUCGGGUUGUAAACCGCUUUCGCCUGUGACGAAGCGUGAGUGACGGUAAUGGGUAAAGAAGCACCGGCUAACUACGUG